GAUGAAGAACGUAUCGAAAUGCGAUAAGUAAUGUGAAUUGCAGAAUUCAGUGAAUCAUCGAAUCUUUGAACGCACAUUGCGCCCGCCAGUAUUCUGGCGGGCAUGCCUGUUCGAGCGUCAUUUCAACCCUCAAGCCCCAGCGGCCUGGUGUUGGGGACCGGCGACCUCGCCCGAGCCCGCCCUCCGGGGCGCGUGCCCGGUGCGUCCGCCGCCCCCGAAAUGAAUUGGCGGCCUCGUCGCGGCCUCCUCUGCGUAGUAGCACAACCUCGCAAGCGGGAGCGCGACGCGGCCACUGCCGUAAAACGCCCAACUUUUUUAGAGUUGACCUCGGAUCAGGUAGGAAUACCCGCUGAACUUAAGCAUAUCAAUAAGCGGAGGA
rnacentral:misc_RNA from 1 species